UUCAUUCUCACGUCUCUCACUCUCAUUCUCACGUUUUUGAUCAGCAAAAAAACUCAAAAUAAUAGUUCUUCACUCUUGAAGAACCUACACACAAAGACUCAAAUGAAAAGCUAAGCUAAAAACGAAAAUCAACAACAUUCUUCUCGACGGUUUGGGUUUGGGAUUUUGGUGGUGAGGCAGUGGUGUCGUGGGAAUAGGCAGUAUUGAAACAAGUGUUGAACAACAUUAAGGUGCAGGUGCAGGUGAAUGCUAGAGCUUACGAGACUACGCUGAAGUUAUCCGAACGUGGAGCAUUCAUCCGGACUUGGUAGGACCUAUUACUUUCGAGGAUGCCUAUCUUUUAUAUUGUAUCUUAGAUGUAGGCAUGAGCUAAUGGAGUAUGUUCCGCUAGUGUUUCUUUCCCAUUUAUUUUCAGAUAUUGUAUUGGUGCCAUUUUGGCAACUCUAUAAUUUAUACAGAUAUGACUAUGUCUUUCAUUUGGUUAACUUGACAUUAGAUGGUUGUUGUGAAAUGCUUAUGAGUUUAUGUAGAUAGUGUGCUAAUGGAGUAUGUUCCGCUAGUGUUUCUUUCCCAUUUAUUUUCAGAUAUUGUAUUGGUGCCGUUUUGGCAACUCUAUAAUUUAUACACAUAUGACUAUGUCUUUCA